CUUGCUUGGCGCUGCUAUACAUGCAGUCGAGCGAAUGGAUUAAGAGCUUGCUCUUAUGAAGUUAGCGGCGGACGGGUGAGUAACACGUGGGUAACCUGCCCAUAAGACUGGGAUAACUCCGGGAAACCGGGGCUAAUACCGGAUAACAUUUUGAACCGCAUGGUUCGAAAUUGAAAGGCGGCUUCGGCUGUCACUUAUGGAUGGACCCGCGUCGCAUUAGCUAGUUGGUGAGGUAACGGCUCACCAAGGCAACGAUGCGUAGCCGACCUGAGAGGGUGAUCGGCCACACUGGGACUGAGACACGGCCCAGACUCCUACGGGAGGCAGCAGUAGGGAAUCUUCCGCAAUGGACGAAAGUCUGACGGAGCAACGCCGCGUGAGUGAUGAAGGCUUUCGGGUCGUAAAACUCUGUUGUUAGGGAAGAACAAGUGCUAGUUGAAUAAGCUGGCACCUUGACGGUACCUAACCAGAAAGCCACGGCUAACUACGUGCCAGCAGCCGCGGUAAUACGUAGGUGGCAAGCGUUAUCCGGAAUUAUUGGGCGUAAAGCGCGCGCAGGUGGUUUCUUAAGUCUGAUGUGAAAGCCCACGGCUCAACCGUGGAGGGUCAUUGGAAACUGGGAGACUUGAGUGCAGAAGAGGAAAGUGGAAUUCCAUGUGUAGCGGUGAAAUGCGUAGAGAUAUGGAGGAACACCAGUGGCGAAGGCGACUUUCUGGU
rnacentral:rRNA from 1 species